CUGUGGUUACCAGCCACUCCCUGUUGGCUUGUGGGUGACCUUGGGCCUAGUAUGACUCUCCCCGGGCCCCGCCUCUUCCCAGGAGGAUAGAAGAGGAGACAGUUGGCAUCCGUGUUGGUUGUCUGGGAAGACAACCAGACACAUGGAUCAAGAAGUCAGGGUGUCCGAGGGGUACAGAGAGCUCCAUCAAGAUCAGAACAGAACUGGGAAGCCAGGCACAUGGAGCCCAGCGCACAUGGAGACUGAAAAUCUGGCCUUUGCCCCCACUGAAACCAGCAUCAAGAAGGGCCCCAGGAGUCAGUGACCUCGUGCCAAGGAUCUUGAUACCACCCAAGGGCUAUAUCCCUAUGGCUGCUCACCCUAGAUGGACAAGGAUUACAGCACCUGCAGGGCCAAACAGCACACCACACAUCUGCUAGAAACCAACCCACACCCUCGCGAGACCGCACAGCAGCCUGGCAGGGUCCUCAGUUUCCCGAACGAUCCCAAGACUCAGGGGCCUCCCACCUCCCAUCUGAGCUCAGAUGACCCAGGUAAAUGGGGCCCAGAACGGUCCCGCAGCCCCUCACUAAGUCCGCCUGGGGCCGCUGGCCUCUGGUUCCCACAGCUUUUCAGUUUCGGUUCUCCAAACUGCCCUCAUUUCCUCACCUGUCGUGACAAGGCUGGCGCGGUCCUCUGUCUCUCCGCU